rnacentral:lncRNA from 1 species
CAAAGUUGGGGACACCCCUCUGGGUUCGCCCCCCAGACCGCACUGUUUCCAUGGGGUGAGGGUGGGAAAGGUGCACCUUAUUUUUGUAACUAGGGUUUAUUUGGUGAUAACAGGGGGUUGGGGGAUGCUCCCCCCCUCUCCCCCUGUGCCCCCAGGUGAAUAAAGGGCAGAGGAGCGGCUGUGGGGUUCCGCAUGUCACACAGGAGGGACUUUGGGGACAGAUCACUGCAGCAGCCCGGCCCCAUAACCACUACAGCCCCAAUCCCAUAGCCAUAACCCCCACAUCCCAUAGCUAUAUCCCACCUUAUCCCAUCCCAUAGCCCAUCCUGUAUCUAUAUCCCCAAAUCCAUCCCUUAUCCCCAUAUCCCAUUCCACAUCCAUCCUAUAUCCCAUCUCAUAUUCUUCCUAUAUUCCAUCACGUAUCCAUAUCCCCACACCCCGUAUCCCAUUCCUAUCCUACCCCAUAUACCAUAACCGCAGCCCUUCCCAUAUCCAUAUCCCCGUAUCCGUUCCACAUCUUUAUCCCAUUCCAGUAUCAUCCCAAACCCAUCUCAUAUCCAUAUCCCAUAUCCAUUCCAUGGACUUAUGCUGUAUCCAGAGCCCAUCCCAUACGUAUCCCCUUUCCCGAUAUCCCAUCCCGUAUCCAUAUCCCAUAUCCUCACACCCUCCAUCCCAAUCCCAACCCCGCAUGCCACCUGACAAUCCCAGUCCCAAUCCCACAUCCCAACCUCAAUUAGCAAGAGGGUGAACCCAAGGCCAAAGGCUGCCCCAUAGGCUGCAG